AGGAAAGUAGCUCAACCGGUUGGGUGCUUGCUUUGCAUGCGAGAGAUAUAGGGUUCGAUCCCUUGCAUCUA
rnacentral:tRNA from 1 species